rnacentral:rRNA from 1 species
AUUGAACGCUGGCGGCAGGCCUAACACAUGCAAGUCGAACGGUAACAGGAAACAGCUUGCUGUUUCGCUGACGAGUGGCGGACGGGUGAGUAAUGUCUGGGAAACUGCCUGAUGGAGGGGGAUAACUACUGGAAACGGUAGCUAAUACCGCAUAACGUCGCAAGACCAAAGAGGGGGACCUUCGGGCCUCUUGCCAUCGGAUGUGCAGAUGGGAUUAGCUAGUAGGUGGGGUAACGGCUCACCUAGGCGACGAUCCCUAGCUGGUCUGAGAGGAUGACCAGCCACACGGGAACUGGGACACGGUCCAGACUCCUACGGGAGGCAGCAGUGGGGAAUAUUGCACAAUGGGCGCAAGCCUGAUGCAGCCAUGCCGCGUGUAUGAAGAAGGCCUUCGGGUUGUAAAGUACUUUCAGCGGGGAUGAAGGGAGUAAAGUUAAUACCUUUGCUCAUUGACGUUACCCGCAGAAGAAGCACCGGCUAACUCCGUG